CCAUCCUACAGCUUCUCUGAUCUAUAUAGGUGGUGUUCCAUCCUACAGCUUCUCUGAUCUAUAUAGGUGUUCCAUCCUACAGCUUCUCUGAUCUAUAUAGGUGUUCCAUCCUACAGCUUCUCUGAUCUAUAUAGGUGUUCCAUCCUACAGCUUCUCUGAUCUAUAUAGGUGUUCCAUCCUACAGCUUCUCUGAUCUAUAUAGGUGGUGUUCCAUCCCACAGCUUCUCUGAUCUAUAUAGGUGGUGUUCCAUCCUACAGCUUCUCUGAUCUAUAUAGGUGUUCCAUCCUACAGCUUCUCUGAUCUAUAUAGGUGUUCCAUCCUACAGCUUCUCUGAUCUAUAUAGGUGUUCCAUCCUACAGCUUCUCUGAUCUAUAUAGGUGGUGUUCCAUCCUAAAGCUUCUAUGAUCUAUAUAGGUGGUGUUCCAUCCUACAGCUUCUCUGAUCUAUAUAGGUGUUCCAUCCUACAGCUUCUCUGAUCUAUAUAGGUGGUGUUCCAUCCUACAGCUUCUCUGAUCUAUAUAGGUGGUGUUCCAUCCUACAGCUUCUAUGAUCUAUAUAGGUGGUGUUCCAUCCUACAGCUUCUCUGAUCUAUAUAGGUGGUGUUCCAUCCUACAGCUUCUCUGAUCUAUAUAGGUGGUGUUCCAUCCUACAGCUUCUCUGAUCUAUAUAGGUGGUGUU